rnacentral:rRNA from 1 species
AACGAACGCUGGCGGCAUGCCUAACACAUGCAAGUCGAACGAGACCUUCGGGUCUAGUGGCGCACGGGUGCGUAACGCGGGGGAACCUGCCCUUAGGUUCGGAAUAACUCCCCGAGAGGGGUGCUAAUACCGGAUAAUGUCUUCGGACCAAAGAUUUAUCGCCUUUGGAUGGGCCCGCGUUGGAUUAGCUAGUUGGUAGGGUAAAAGCCUACCAAGGCGACGAUCCAUAGCUGGUCUGAGAGGAUGAUCAGCCACACUGGGACUGAGACACGGCCCAGACUCCUACGGGAGGCAGCAGUGGGGAAUUUGGACAAUGAGCGAAAGCCUGAUCCAGCAAUGCCGCGUGAGUGAUGAAGCCCUUAGGGUUGUAAAGCUCUUUUACCCGAGAUGAUAAUGACAGUACCGGGAGAAGAAGCUCCGGCUAACUCCGUG